AACAGUUGGUGUUGAGGUCGAGAGUUCGUUCUGCUUAUGUUUUCCACACUGGUGAAGAAACAAUGAAUUUUUUCUGCCUUUCACUGUUCUUAACCUGGUUACCAUAUGCCUUCAGUAUAUGGGUGGACCAAACACCAAGAACGGCAACAAAAAUGAUUGGCGAGUCCCUGACAAUCAACUGCAUCUUAAAGGAUCCUAGCUAUGGCUUGUGCUCUACAGCAUGGUACCGGAAAAACCCGAGAACAACUGAUUGGGAAUGGAUAACCAUUGGCGGCCGAUAUGUUGAAUCAGUCAACAAGGGAAGCAAUUCCUUUUCCCUGCGAAUCAAUGGCCUGACAGUUGAAGACAGUGUCGUGUUUCACUGCAGAGCUCGAGAUAUCAGCACAAUAACGAGUUUGAGUUUCCACUCAUACAAGAACACCCUCGAAUCUUCUCUGACUGACUGUGACUAUAACUACUAUGAUGGAUUUGGCACUGUGCUGACCGUGAACUCAGCGCCGUCUCCUCCAAUAAUCAGUCUCUCCUACCGUGCAACUUCCGAAUUGAGAGCAACGGGUUUUGUGCAGCUGCUUUGCCUCAUCAGCGACUUCAAGCCAGAAAGCAUUGGGGUGACCUGGCAGAAGAACGGAAACACCAUAUGGUCUGGCUUUACCACUUCACCCCCAGCUAAAACAUUGAAAGGAGACUUCAGCUCCACGAGCCUCCUGACUGUGCCUCUUCAGGAAUGGAGCAGCGGUUCCGUGUACAGAUGCCAAGUGACCCAUCCCGCAACCAACAGUAACAAGCAGAAAGAAAUCAGGUCAACCUCAGAGAUCACAGUACUUCUCAGAGAUCCCUCAGUUGAAGAUAUUUGGAUCAAAAAAACUGCCACCCUCGUGUGUGAAGUGGUGUCCACAGCUCCCAAUGAGGUUGUGAUCUCCUGGAGCGUGAAUGGAAAGGUGAGGGCUGAAGGUGUUCAAAUCGAAAGAGGUACCCAAGAUGGUAACCAGUACCUGACCAUCAGCCGCUUGACAAGCAGCGUGGAAGAGUGGGAGAGCGGGGCUGAAUACUCCUGUUCAGCACAAGACAAUCUUUCAUCAACUCCAGUAUCAAAAGGCACACGAAAGAGAAAAGGAGGUGAUCCAGUGAAGCCAAGCCUCCGGCUCUUGCCUCCAUCACCAGAAGAAAUUCAAAGCACGAAAACCGCAACCCUCACUUGUUUGAUAAGAGGAUUUUGCCCGGACAAAAUAACAGUUUCCUGGCAGAAGAACGGAGCUGCUUUGAGAUCGAACAUCACUAGUUUCCCCACGGCCCUUGAACAGGACCAGACCUUCAGCACAAGGAGCCUCCUCACAUUACCUGAAGCGGAAUGGAAGUCAGGAGCAAGAUACACCUGUGCCGCCUCACACCCACCUACACAAUCCACAGAAAAUAUGACCAUCAGCAACAAGAAAGCUGAUUGCCCUGAGUCAGACAUUUCUGUCAAUAUAAUGAACCCUCCGUUUGAAGAGAUAUGGGUUCAAAAGACAGCGACCAUUGCUUGUGAAAUCCUUUACAGUGAUUUAGAAAGCCUCAGCGUGUCCUGGCAAGUGGAUGGGAGAAUUCGAAUGGAAGGAGUUGAGACCCAGAAUCCUGAGCGGAGUGGAAGCAAUUCGGCCAUCGUGAGCAAACUGACGGUCACUGCGGCAGAGUGGGACAGUGGGGUGGAAUAUGUCUGUCUCGCAGAAGGAAGUGAAUUACCAACACCAAAGAGACGCUCAACCAGGAAAUUAAAGGUUGGCACAAUGAUUAGCCCCAAAGUCUACAUUCUGCCUCCGUCAGAGGACGAGAUCGACACUGAGAAUACAGCAACUCUGACGUGUCUCGCCACUGGUUUUUAUCCUGCUGAGAUUUACAUCGCUUGGAUGGCCAAUGACACCCUUCUGGAUUCAGGUCAUCCAAGCCAACCGGAGAGUGAGAAGGGAAAUGGUUCCAGCUUCUUAGCCGGCAGAUUGAGACUCACCGCAGCCGAGUGGAACACUGGCACCACUUACUCCUGUUUAGUGGGUCACCCGUCCCUCGAGAGGAAUUUAAUCCGAAGUAUUAAUAAAUCCCACGGUAAACCUACUUUAGUUAAUGUUUCGCUUGUCCUAACCGACAGUGUUAAAUCAUGUACAUAACCCGCCAUGAUAGACCAGGCUUUUCCUGUAGAAAUGUCACCGCUGUGAGGUUCCUAAUUAUUUCAACAUCGGAAUCAGCCAAUCUCCCAAUCAUCUGACCGCACAAUCACCCUCCAGGGCUGCGAACAAUUGUUCCGACAUUUUGCUAAUACCCGAAUCUAUAUCAUUCAAUGAGGGAAAACCAUGGUUAGGUUUCAUAUUGCCGGAUAAGCUUAGUAGUUUUUUGUACAAGUUACCAUGUUAUCAAAGUGUUCAUGAAGGGUUUAGUGAUGCUAUUUGAUAUGCACAACAUAGUUGGAUUGUCUGUAUGUGGCAGAACUGAUUGCAAUAAAAGCAAAAUGAAAACUU